GUCUAUGGGUUACACAGAACAUGUUCAUGAAGUUAUUUGCACCAAAUCAUCCAAACCUAGAAGUUUCACCAGCUCCAUUUCUUCUCAGCGCCAGUCACUGCUACAUUGAGCCGUUCUGAGUGAUCUGGUGCUAGCCACGCCCCGUCUUGGACGCAGCCAGCGCAUCCAGCUAGCUGCCACCAUAGAAAUACGGUAACACGAAGGACGCCCGCCUGCUACUACCACCUCAAAUCGCUAUUGCUGCUGUCAACAGAGUACAGACCCGUAAUCCAACUUUAUGUCACAUAUCAACACAGAUGUCGAACAAGAGGAGGAACAACCUAGAUCACCAAACGCAGUUUCCGAAUGGUCACAAGCCGCAUGGAACAGUUGGAGGGUGCACAUCCUGGGUAUUAUCCAGUGUGUCUCAAUGUUUGUAGCUACAGGGCAUGGGCUGCUACGGCUACAAAAGAUAUCUGUAAGGAACUCCUGAGAUGCAGGAUAAGGGCAAUCGUGUCGUCUUGUGUGAUCCUGUGUGUCCGUCAGGAGUUCCUGCCCCUGCACCUGCCCCUGCCUCCUCUGGCCCUG